AGAAAUUAUUUAUCAAAGAUGGAGGAAUCAGAACUUCACACAGACAUAUGUCGUGUCUGUCGGUGUGAGAGCACACCAGAUAAACCUUUGUAUCAUCCUUGUGUAUGCACAGGAAGUAUACGAUACAUUCACCAAGACUGCUUGGUGCAGUGGUUAAAAUACAGUAGGAAGGAGAGUAUUGUCCCUUUCUUAGGUUUUCCAUUUGAAGUAGAGAACUUGGUGUUGAGAAGAAUUUACCCAUUCCUCCUUGCCUGCAUAAUUUGUGUGUUGAUUCUAAUAUUUCAAAUUCGCCAGUUUAAAAGACUUUAUGAGCACAUCAAAAACGACAAGUAUUUAGUGGGUCAGAGACUAGUCAAUUACGAACCGCAUUCGGCAGCCAAUGUCGUGCCCAAGAUGCCUUCCUCAUAAAAUGACUCACAGUCAGUGGACGGGAACAGACGAGGAGCAAUAAUUGCUGAUUUGAUACUUUUAGUUGGUGUACAUAGUAUUGUCAAAUCACUGCAUUGUUGGUGAUUUUAUUCAGAUAAUAUUUCUAUCAGUGAUAGAAUUUUCUAUAGCUGUAUCCUACACAAAGUGCUGUGUUUUAUCUUUUUGUGAUGGGUUGGGAGAUUCUUUCCCAAUCCUUGAGUAUUCCUAUCUGCAUUGGAAUCCUUACAAUAGGCUUCUGUAAGCAGCACUGGCAGACUUGUGGAACUUUCUCCCGCAGAGUUACAUAUACAUGUACAUUGUACAUUAACAUAACCAAACACACAAUGCCACAUUUGAGUGGAAGGGUAUGCAUGCAACAUGAAUUGUAAUUAACUGAUUAAUUAAGAGAUAUGUGUGUGUUUGUAUGUAUAUGUGAGUUAUAAUCUGUUAAAAGAGUGAUUGUUUUAUGUUGUGUAGGAGAAGGAUAAUUGUUAGUGUUUGGGGAUGUGGCAGGAAUACUGGUGAGGGAGACUGACUGUAUAAUUUGUGGUAUACCGGUACAUGUAAAUGCUAAGCUAGGCUUAAUAGGUCUUUAUGUGAGAAUCUGUUAAUUGUACAUGUAUGAGUUAAUGCAUGCAGAACCUUUCAUGAUUGUAUGAAGAAAGAAUGCGUUAGAAUGAGUCAAUGUAGGGAUGUAGUUCUGGAUGGGAUUGGGUGAGGAUGAAAAACUAUUUUAGAUUUUCUAAUAUAUUUUCGGUAAAGUAAAGAUCGAGUGUAUCUGUGCUGAUGCCAUUGAGUUAAGCUCUCCCCUUCCUUUUUCCUAUUGUCGUAUCGGCCGAUGAUAGGCGAAGGAGGGGCUGAUUGUAAUCAGACUGAUUUAUGUGAUGAUGUUAUAAUGAUGUCAUGAUGACCUUAAUCAUUAUGUACAUGUAUUCAUCCUUAUACAUUUUUGUGAAUAGCUAAAACUUCUGUGAUUUGUGAAGCUUAUAUGUAUCAUUUUGUUCUAUUCUCAACCCUUGUCAUAAAUAACCCUAAAUGUUUAACUUUUCAGUGUGAUAUUUAUAAGUCAUUUAAUCUACAUGUAUAUGGAAAUAAUAAGAUUGUUUUACAUUUACAUUUAUCUUUAAUGUGCAUACUUGAAGACCAUUACUUUGAUUUUUAAAGUGAUUGGAGAUUUAAAAUGUACAUGAAUGAUUUAGACUAAAUUAAUAUUUACAUGAACAUGCAUUUAGAUUGUAGGAUAUUAAAGCAGUUAAUGCUCUGAUAUAUGGAAAUAUUAUUUUAUUUAUAUGCAUAUGUACACAAAUAUUUAUUUAAAAAACUCAGUUUCCUGAGAGACAUUUAUAAUACCGUAAUUCUUAUCCCCAGAAAACAUUCCUCUUGUAUAAAUAUGCCAUUUGUUGAGUAGACCCCAUCAUCUACACGUCAUUACACAACAUCCCAAAUAAUGUCUGGUUUUAUGUGUCAGUGAUUGUGCCAAAUAUCUUUGUUUUAUUUGUGUCUAUGAGUGAGUGGUACCUGUAUUACGGGGGAUUAUCUCCGUGAUGGAUUAUCUCAAAUUCUAUGUAAAAAAUAUUUUGAUCACAGACAUAAACACACAUAAAU
rnacentral:misc_RNA from 1 species